rnacentral:misc_RNA from 1 species
GGAAAUAAAAGUCGUAACAAGGUAUCCGUUGGUGAACCAGCGGAGGGAUCAUUACCGAGUUUACAACUCCCAAACCCAAUGUGAACCAUACCAAACUGUUGCCUCGGCGGGGUCACGCCCCGGGUGCGUCGCAGCCCCGGAACCAGGCGCCCGCCGGAGGGACCAACCAAACUCUUUCUGUAGUCCCCUCGCGGACGUUAUUUUUACAGCUCUGAGCAAAAAUUCAAAAUGAAUCAAAACUUUCAACAACGGAUCUCUUGGUUCUG